GGCUCAGAUUGAACGCUGGCGGCAUGCUUUACACAUGCAAGUCGAACGGUAACAGGCCUUCGGGCGCUGACGAGUGGCGAACGGGUGAGUAAUGCAUCGGAACGUGCCCAGAGGUGGGGGAUAACGCAGCGAAAGCUGUGCUAAUACCGCAUACGAUCUAUGGAUGAAAGCGGGGGAUCGCAAGACCUCGCGCGAUUGGAGCGGCCGAUAUCAGAUUAGCUAGUUGGUGGGGUAAAGGCUCACCAAGGCGACGAUCCAUAGCUGGUCUGAGAGGAUGAUCAGCCACACUGGGACUGAGACACGGCCCAGACUCCUACGGGAGGCAGCAGUGGGGAAUAUUGGACAAUGGGCGAAAGCCUGAUCCAGCAAUGCCGCGUGAGGGAAGAAUGCCUAUGGGUUGUAAACCUCUUUUUUCAGGGAGGAAUAAAAUGACGUGUACCUGAAGAAUAAGCAUCGGCUAACUCCGUG
rnacentral:rRNA from 1 species